UGUGUGUGUGUGUGUAACAUCGUAUCAGGCGAUCAAACUGUUCAAUAAACUGUUUAAGACAGAUAGUCACCCGAUUAAUACUGAGAUUCUACAUGUUUUUAGUUAAAAAGGCUUAAAAGAGGUGCUCAACUCACGGCUGAUUUAAGAGGCUCUGCUCGGCUCGACUAGUAUGUGUGUGCGCAAGUGUGUGAGUGUGUGUAACAUCGUAUCAGGCCAUCAAACUGUUCAAUAAACUGUUUAAGACAGAUAGUCACCCGAUCAAGACUGAGAUUCCAGAUGUUUUUAUUUAAAAACGCUUAAAAGAGGUGCUCAACUCACGGCUGCUUUAAGAGGCUCGCCUCGCCUCGUAUGUGUGUGCGCAAGUGUGUCAGUGUGUGUAACAUCGUAUCAGGCAAUCAAACUGUUCAAUAAACUGUUUAAAACAGAUAGUCACCCGAUUAAUACUGAGAUUCUAGAUGUUUUUUAUUUAAAAAGACUUAAAAGAGGUGCUCAACUCACUGCUGCUUUAAGAGGCUCGCCUCGCCUCGCCUCGUAUGUGUGUGCGCAAGUGUGUCAGUGUGUGUAACAUCGUAUCAGGCAAUCAAACUGUUCAAUAAACUGUUUCAGACAGAUAGGCACCCGAUUAAUACUGAGAUUCUAGAUGUUUUUUAUUUAAAAAGGCUUAAAAGAGGUGCUCAACUCACGGCUGCUUUAAGAGGCUCGCCUCGCCUCGCCUCGUCUCGUAUGUGUGUGCGCAAGUGUGUCAGUGUGUGUAACAUCGUAUCAGGCAAUCAAACUGUUCAAUAAACUGUUUCAGACAGAUAGGCACCCGAUUAAUACUGAGAUUCUAGAUGUUUUUUAUUUAAAAAGGCUUAAAAGAGGUGCUCAACUCACGGCUGCUUUAAGAGGCUCGCCUCGCCUCGCCUCGUAUGUGUGUGCGCAAGUGUGUGAGUGUGUGUAACAUCGUAUCAGGCGAUCAAACUGUUCAAUAAACUGUUUAAGACAGAUAGUCUCCCGAUCAAGACUGAGAUUCCAGAUGUUUUUAGUUAAAAAGGCUUAAAAGAGGUGUUCAACUCACGGCUGAUUUAAGAGGCUCUGCUCGGCUCGACUAGUAUGUGUGUGCGCAAGUGUGUGAGUGUGUGUAACAUCGUAUCAGGCCAUCAAACUGUUCAAUAAACUGUUUAAGACAGAUAGUCACCCGAUCAAGACUGAGAUUCCAGAUGUUUUUAUUUAAAAACGCUUAAAAGAGGUGCUCAACUCACGGCUGCUUUAAGAGGCUCGCCUCGCCUCGUAUGUGUGUGCGCAAGUGUGUGUGUGUGUGUGUAACAUCGUAUCAGGCGAUCAAACUGUUCAAUAAACUGUUUAAGACAGAUAGUCACCCGAUUAAUACUGAGAUUCUACAUGUUUUUAGUUAAAAAGGCUUAAAAGAGGUGCUCAACUCACGGCUGCUUUAAGAGGCUCGCCUCGCCUCGCCUCGUAUGUGUGUGCGCAAGUGUGUGAGUGUGUGUAACAUCGUAUCAGGCAAUCAAACUGUUCAAUAAACUGUUUAAAACAGAUAGUCACCCGAUUAAUACUGAGAUUCUAGAUGUUUUUUAUUUAAAAAGACUUAAAAGAGGUGCUCAACUCACUGCUGCUUUAAGAGGCUCGCCUCGCCUCGCCUCGUAUGUGUGUGCGCAAGUGUGUCAGUGUGUGUAACAUCGUAUCAGGCAAUCAAACUGUUCAAUAAACUGUUUCAGACAGAUAGGCACCCGAUUAAUACUGAGAUUCUAGAUGUUUUUUAUUUAAAAAGGCUUAAAAGAGGUGCUCAACUCACGGCUGUUUUAAGAGGCUCGCCUCGCCUCGCCUCGUAUGUGUGUGCGCAAGUGUGUGAGUGUGUGUAACAUAGUAUCAGGCGAUCAAACUGUUCAAUAAACUGUUUCAGACAGAUAGUCACCCGAUCAAGACUGAGAUUCCAGAUGUUUUUAUUUAAAAAGGCUUAAAAGAGGUGCUCAACUCACGGCUGCUUUAAGAGGCUCUGCUCAGCUCGCCUCUUAUGUGUGUGCGCAAGUGUGUGAGUGUGUGUAACAUCGUAUUAGGCGAUCAAACUGUUCAAUAAACUGUUUCAGACAGAUAGUCACCCGAUCAAGACUGAGAUUCCAGAUGUUUUCAUUUAAAAAGGCUUAAAAGAGGUGCUCUACUCACUGCUGCUUUAAGAGGCUCUGCUCAGCUCGCCUCGUAUGUGUGUGCGCAAGUGUGUGAGUGUGUGUAACAUCGUAUCAGGCGAUCAAACUAUUCAAUAAACUGUUCAAAACAGAUAGUCACCUGAUUAAUACUGAGAUUCUAGAUGUUUUUUAUUUAAAAAGGCUUAAAAGAGGUGCUCAACUCACGGCUGCUUUAAGAGGCUCGCCUCGCCUCGCCUCGUAUGUGUGUGCGCAAGUGUGUGAGUGUGUGUAAUAUCGUAUCAGGUGAUCAAACUGUUCAAUAAACUGUUUAAAACAGAUAGGCACCUGAUUAAUACUGAGAUUCUAGAUGUUUUUUAUUUAAAACGGCUUAAAAGAGCUGCUCUACUCACUGCUGCUUUAAGAGGCUCUGCUCGGCUCGUCUCGUAUGUGUGUGCGCAAGUGUGUGAGUGUGUGUAACAUCGUAUCAGGCGAUCAAACUGUUCAAUAAACUGUUUAAAACAGAUAGUCACCCGAUUAAUACUGAGAUUCUAGAUGUUUUUAUUUAAAAACGCUUAAAAGAGGUGCUCUACUCACGGCUGCUUUAAGAGGCUCUGCUCGGCACGUAUGUGUGUGCGCAAGUGUGUGAGUGUGUGUAACAUCGUAUCAGGCGAUCAAACUAUUCAAUAAACUGUUUUAAACAGAUAGUCACCCGAUUAAUACUGAGAUUCUAGAUGUUUUUUAUUUAAAAAGGCUUAAAAGAGGUGCUCUACUCACUGCUGCUUUAAGAGGCUCUGCUCAGCUCGCCUCGUAUGUGUGUGCGCAAGUGUGUGAGUGUGUGUAACAUCGUAUCAGGCGAUCAAACUAUUCAAUAAACUGUUCAAAACAGAUAGUCACCCGAUUAAUACUGAGAUUCCAUAUGUUUUUACUUAAAAAGGCUUAAAAGAGGUGCUCAACUCACGGCUGCUUUAAGAGGCUCGCCUCGCCUCGCCUCGUAUGUGUGUGCGCAAGUGUGUGAGUGUGUGUAACAUCGUAUCAGGCGAUCAAACUAUUCAAUAAACUGUUCAAAACAGAUAGUCACCUGAUUAAUACUGAGAUUCUAGAUGUUUUUUAUUUAAAAAGGCUUAAAAGAGGUGCUCAACUCACGGCUGCUUUAAGAGGCUCUGCUCAGCUCGCCUCGUAUGUGUGUGCACAAGUAUGUGAGUGUGUGUAACAUCGUAUCAGGCGAUCAAACUGUUCAAUAAACUGUUUAAAACAGAUAGUCACCCGAUCAAGACUGAGAUUCCAUAUGUUUUUAUUUAAAAACGCUUAAAAGAGGUGCUCAACUCACGGCUGAUUUAAGAGGCUCUGCUCAGCUCGCCUCUUAUGUGUGUGCGCAAGUGUGUGAGUGUGUGUAACAUCGUAUUAGGCGAUCAAACUGUUCAAUAAACUGUUUCAGACAGAUAGUCACCCGAUCAAGACUGAGAUUCCAGAUGUUUUCAUUUAAAAAGGCUUAAAAGAGCUGCUCUACUCACUGCUGCUUUAAGAGGCUCUGCUCGCCUCGCCUCGUAUGUGUGUGCGCAAGUGUGUGAGUGUGUGUAACAUCGUAUCAGGCGAUCAAACUGUUCAAUAAACUGUUUAAAACAGAUAGUCACCCGAUUAAUACUGAGAUUCUAGAUGUUUUUUAUUUAAAAAGGCUUAAAAGAGGUGCUCAACUCACGGCUGCUUUAAGAGGCUCGCCUCGCCUCGCCUCGUAUGUGUGUGCGCAAGUGUGUCAGUGUGUGUAACAUCGUAUCAGGCAAUCAAACUGUUCAAUAAACUGUUUAAAACAGAUAGUCACCCGAUUAAUACUGAGAUUCUAGAUGUUUUUUAUUUAAAAAGGCUUAAAAGAGGUGCUCAACUCACGGCUGCUUUAAGAGGCUCUGCUCAGCUCGCCUCUUAUGUGUGUGCGCAAGUGUGUGAGUGUGUGUAACAUAGUAUCAGGCGAUCAAACUGUUCAAUAAACUGUUUCAGACAGAUAGUCACCCGAUCAAGACUGAGAUUCCAUAUGUUUUUAUUUAAAAAGGCUUAAAAGAGGUGCUCAACUCACGGCUGCUUUAAGAGGCUCGCCUCGCCUCGCCUCGUAUGUGUGUGCGCAAGUGUGUGAGUGUGUGUAAUAUCGUAUCAGGCGAUCAAACUGUUCAAUAAACUGUUUCAGACAGAUAGUCACCCGAUCAAGACUGAGAUUCCAUAUGUUUUUAUUUAAAAAGGCUUAAAAGAGGUGCUCAACUCACGGCUGCUUUAAGAGGCUCUGCUCAGCUCGCCUCGUAUGUGUGUGCACAAGUAUGUGAGUGUGUGUAACAUCGUAUCAGGCGAUCAAACUGUUCAAUAAACUGUUUAAAACAGAUAGUCACCCGAUCAAGACUGAGAUUCCAUAUGUUUUUAUUUAAAAACGCUUAAAAGAGGUGCUCUACUCACUGCUGCUUUAAGAGGCUCUGCUCAGCUCGCCUCGUAUGUGUGUGCGCAAGUGUGUGAGUGUGUGUAACAUCGUAUCAGGCGAUCAAACUGUUCAAUAAACUGUUUAAAACAGAUAGUCACCCGAUUAAUACUGAGAUUCUAGAUGUUUUUAUUUAAAAACGCUUAAAAGAGGUGCUCAACUCACGGCUGAUUUAAGAGGCUCUGCUCAGCUCGCCUCGUAUGUGUGUGCGCAAGUGUGUGAGUGUGUGUAACAUCGUAUUAGGCGAUCAAACUGUUCAAUAAACUGUUUCAGACAGAUAGUCACCCGAUCAAGACUGAGAUUCCAGAUGUUUUCAUUUAAAAAGGCUUAAAAGAGGUGCUCAACUCACGGCUGCUUUAAGAGGCUCUGCUCAGCUCGCCUCGUAUGUGUGUGCGCAAGUGUGUGAGUGUGUGUAACAUCGUAUCAGGCGAUCAAACUGUUCAAUAAACUGUUUAAAACAGAUAGUCACCCGAUUAAUACUGAGAUUCUAGAUGUUUUUAUUUAAAAACGCUUAAAAGAGGUGCUCAACUCACGGCUGCUUUAAGAGGCUCGCCUCGCCUCGCCUCGUAUGUGUGUGCGCAAGUGUGUGAGUGUGUGUAACAUAGUAUCAGGCGAUCAAACUGUUCAAUAAACUGUUUAAGACAGAUAGUCUCCCGAUCAAGACUGAGAUUCCAGAUGUUUUUAUUUAAAAAGGCUUAAAAGAGGUGCUCAACUCACGGCUGCUUUAAGAGGCUCGCCUCGCCUCGUAUGUGUGUGCACAAGUAUGUGAGUGUGUGUAACAUAGUAUCAGGCGAUCAAACUGUUCAAUAAACUGUUAAGACAGAUAGUCUCCCGAUCAAGACUGAGAUUCCAGAUGUUGUUAUUUAAAAAGGCUUAAAAGAGGUGCUCAACUCACGGCUGCUUUAAGAGGCUCUGCUCAGCUCGCCUCUUAUGUGUGUGCGCAAGUGUGUGAGUGUGUGUAACAUAGUAUCAGGCGAUCAAACUGUUCAAUAAACUGUUUCAGACAGAUAGUCACCCGAUCAAGACUGAGAUUCCAUAUGUUUUUAUUUAAAAAGGCUUAAAAGAGGUGCUCAACUCACGGCUGCUUUAAGAGGCUCGCCUCGCCUCGCCUCGUAUGUGUGUGCGCAAGUGUGUGAGUGUGUGUAAUAUCGUAUCAGGCGAUCAAACUGUUCAAUAAACUGUUUAAAACAGAUAGGCACCCGAUUAAUACUGAGAUUCUAGAUGUUUUUUAUUUAAAAAGGCUUAAAAGAGGUGCUCUACUCACUGCUGCUUUAAGAGGCUCUGCUCGGCUCGUCUCGUAUGUGUGUGCGCAAGUGUGUGAGUGUGUGUAACAUCCUAUCACGCUAUCAAACUGUUCAAUAAAAUGUUUAAAACAGAUAGGCACCCGAUUAAUACUGAGAUUCUAGAUGUUUUUUAUUUAAAAAGGCUUAAAAGAGGUGCUCAACUCACGGCUGCUUUAAGAGGCUCGCCUCGCCUCGCCUCGUAUGUGUGUGCGCAAGUUUGUCAGUGUGUGUAACAUCGUAUCAGGCGAUCAAACUAUUCAAUAAACUGUUUAAAACAGAUAGUCACCUGAUUAAUACUGAGAUUCUAGAUGUUUUUUAUUUAAAAAGGCUUAAAAGAGCUGCUCUACUCACUGCUGCUUUAAGAGGCUCUGCUCGGCUCGUCUCGUAUGUGUGUGCGCAAGUGUGUGAGUGUGUGUAACAUCCUAUCACGCUAUCAAACUGUUCAAUAAAAUGUUUAAAACAGAUAGUCACCCGAUCAAGACUGAGAUUCCAGAUGUUUUCAUUUAAAAAGGCUUAAAAGAGGUGCUCAACUCACGGCUGAUUUAAGAGGCUCUGCUCAGCUCGCCUCGUAUGUGUGUGCGCAAGUGUGUGAGUGUGUGUAACAUCGUAUCAGGCGAUCAAACUGUUCAAUAAACUGUUUCAGACAGAUAGUCACCCGAUCAAGACUGAGAUUCCAGAUGUUUUCAUUUAAAAAGGCUUAAAAGAGGUGCUCAACUCACGG